GAAAACUAAUAAUUACGUAACUUCUCCAUUCUAGUUCAUAUUCUCCUGAAACUUGACGAGUGCUUAUGUAACUAAAUUACACACAUAAACACCAUCAACAGAGAGUUUAUUUGCACUGUAAAAAUCUCAGUCCUUACAUUAUCCCCCCCUUAAAAGAAGUUUCGUCCCCGAAACUUGACCACAUACCCACCGGAAUCGAAUUCGGAUAUUACUUCCACCACUGUGGUAU
rnacentral:lncRNA from 1 species